rnacentral:misc_RNA from 1 species
UCACGUAGUGCCGAGUGAAUCCCCCCUCUCCGCCAGAUUGAGGCGAGCAGUUGUGCCAGUGCCGCGUGAGUUUCGCCGGCGGCAUUGGGGGGAUGAGA